rnacentral:rRNA from 1 species
AACGAACGCUGGCGGCGUGGAUAAGACAUGCAAGUCGAACGGGAUUACUUUUGGUAGCAAUACCGAAAGUGAUUCAGUGGCGAACGGGUGCGUAACACGUGGGCAAUCUACCGAGAAGUGGGGAUAGCUCGCCGAAAGGCGAAUUAAUACCGCAUGUGAUCAGAGGCGACAUCGCUUCGAAAUCAAAGGUGGCGCAAGCUACCGCUUUUUGAGGAGCCCGCGGCCAUCAGCUUGUUGGUGAGGUAACGGCUCACCAAGGCAUUGACGGGUAGCUGGUCUGAGAGGACGACCAGUCACACUGGGACUGAGACACGGCCCAGACACCUACGGGUGGCAGCAGUCGAGUAAUUUUUCUCAAUGGGGAAACCCUGAAGGAGCGACGCCGCGUGGAGGAUGAAGGUCUUCGGGUUGUAAACUCCUGUCAUUUGGGAACAAGGUGUGCGCGUUAACUGCGCGCGCA